GCCUCGGUGGCGUAGUGGUCAAGACGCUCGCCUGGUAAUCAGGAGAGCGUGGGUUCGAUCCCAGCCGAGGUA
rfam:Asian citrus Psyllid, Diaphorina citri - Florida Strain, whole genome shotgun sequence.